GAUGAAGAACGUAGCGAAAUGCGAUAAGUAAUGUGAAUUGCAUAAUUCAGUGAAUCAUCGAAUCUUUGAACGCACAUUGCGCCCAUUAGUAUUCUAGUGGGCAUGCCUGUUCGAGCGUCAUUAAGUCCACUUAAGCCCUGCUUAGUGUUGGGAGACUGCUCCAGCGGUGCUACCCUGUAGCUACCCUGCAGCUCCUCAAAGACAGCGGCGGAGUUGUGGUAUCCUCUGAGCUUAGUAACUUGUUCUAGCUUUCGAGUACACCACUUCCCCUGCCGUAAAACCCUUAAUUUUUAAUGGUUGACCUCGGAUCAGGUAGGAAUACCCGCUGAACUUAAGCAUAUCAAUAAGCGGAGGA
rnacentral:misc_RNA from 1 species